AUUGAACGCUGGCGGCAUGCCUUACACAUGCAAGUCGAACGGUAACAGGUCUUCGGAUGCUGACGAGUGGCGAACGGGUGAGUAAUACAUCGGAACGUGCCUAGUAGUGGGGGAUAACUACUCGAAAGAGUGGCUAAUACCGCAUGAGAUCUACGGAUGAAAGCAGGGGAUCGCAAGACCUUGUGCUACUAGAGCGGCCGAUGGCAGAUUAGGUAGUGGGUGGGAUAAAAGCUUACCAAGCCGACGAUCUGUAGCUGGUCUGAGAGGACGCUCAGCCCCACUGGGGCUGAGACACGGCCCAGACUCCUACGGGAGGCAGCAGUGGGGAAGUUUGGACAAUGGGCGAAAGCCUGAUUCAGCAAUGCCGCGUGCAGGAUGAAGGCCUUCGGGUUGUAAACUGCUUUUGUACGGAACGAAAAGCCCCGGGUUAAUACCCUGGGGUCAUGACGGUACCGUAAGAAUAAGCACCGGCUAACUACGUGCCAGCAGCCGCAGUAA
rnacentral:rRNA from 1 species